rnacentral:rRNA from 1 species
ACUCAAAUGAAUUGACGGGGAUCAGCACAAGCGGUGGAUCGUGUUCUUUAAUUCGAUGAUAAACGAAGAACCUUACCAGGGUUUGACAUCCUUGGAAGCAGUGCGAAAGCACAGUGUGCCUUUUGGAACCAAGUGACAGGUGUUGCAUGGCCGUCGUCAGCUCGUGUCGUGAGAUGUUUGGUUAAGUCCAUCAACGAGCGCAACCCUUGCAAGUAGUUGUAUUUUUCUACUUGGACUGCUCUAGUAAUAGGGAGGAAGGAGGGGAUGAUGUCAGGUCAGUAUUACCCUUACAUCCUGGGCUAGAAACACGAUACAAUGGCAAGUACAAUGCGCAGCAAAGCCGCGAGGUGGAGCAAAUCGCAUCAAAGCUUGUCCCAGUUCGGAUAAGAGGCUGAAACUCGCCUCUUUGAAGCCGGAAUCGCUAGUAAUCGCAGGUCAGCAAACUGCGGUGAAUACGUCACUGAUCUUGUACACACCGCCCGU